AGCGCAGAUGAUGAGCAUCGGGACUUAAUGCUGAGGUUUGCUGUGAUGUCUCAGAUGUGUACUGAUGCGU